GGGGAUGUUUUGGUUUUGACAGCAGACGACAUUGGAAAGCAAGCACGUGGAGCUUCGUGUCCCGGCUCCUAAAUCUCAGGACUCAAGCCAUAACUGGCAAUAACAACUACGCACUCGCUGCCUGAUCGGCCAUAGGCUGAUCACUUAAUCCCUCCGGGCCAGGCCCGGAGCGACGAGUAUCCCGCAGAAAUUUCCGCCUUCCGGAUUCCUGCAUACGGGGUAUCGACCACAGAAGGCUGGUUGCAAAGAAUCUCCGGCUUUGUAACAAGAUUUUAGGAGAUAAGGACCAUAUGGCCCGCCGGCAGGCAGUAUGGUCACGAAAAAAAAUUGCAGGCUAAACGUGUAGAAAUCUUUUGGAUGCGCUGUUUGGACGGCGGUUCGAGUCCGCCCAUCUCCACAA
rnacentral:tmRNA from 1 species